GCUGUUUUUCCCGUUGCCGCCGGGCAGCCUUCUGCUCCCUUUUCCGCAGAGCCUGCUGUGCCUCCAUUUCUGGCGUCAGGGGCCCUGGCACCUGGAGAAUUUCCAGGGAGGGGUAAGCUCACCUGAGCCUUGCUGUAAUCAUAAGCAUCUGGAUUCUUCUCCAUGAACCUUCGGAACUCAUUACGUGUUGACUUGUCAGCUGCGACUGUAUAUGGCGGCCGGGCCCUCGAGUCCCUAGGUGCAAACCGCCCCCACAAAAAAAAAUGGGUUCAGCUCGCUUCCUACAUCUCCCAACCUCACCCAGACAGAUGAAGGGGAUACUGUGAAGUAGCCAGUACCACCAUUAGCCUCCAGAUGAUCCUCUCUAUACCCUAAAGGGCUCGGCUUGGGGACCCUUACUUACUGCACAGUAGGGUCAGCACCCGCCUCCAGCAGCAGGCGAACCACUGAGCCUCUCCCAGCUGCAGCUGCCGCAUGCAGGAGCGUGAAGCCGCUGGAGCCCAAGGGGGCACUGAGCAGAGACAGAACUCCAGGGUCUAUGGGGCCAGCAGCUAGCUGGAGUUUCAACAUCCCAACAUCUCCGGCUCGGCAAGCAGCUAGAAGCAUGUCCCAGAGCUCUGACUGAUCGGGGGUCUUGGCCUCAUCCAGAGAAGGCCCCACAGGGGCUGCCCGUCCCUGGGUGGACUGUGAGAAGGCCUCAUCUCCUUGAGUUUGCUGGGAAAGAGCCUCCAGGUCUCGGCUUCUCUCCUUCUUAUUAUUCCUUUUCCUCCUCCUCCGCUUUGGCAGUACCUCAAACUCCCGAAGAUCCAGGGUCCCCACUGCCAACUCUACUAGCUCCAACUCCACCUGGAAGCUGUCCUCUCCCUCCGACCCUGAACCUGGGGAAAAAUAUGACAUGUUAGGUCCGUCCAAAGAGAUAAUACAGAGGGUGGAAGUAUGUGGGCUGGCCCAGAUGCUAUAAGUGUACAUAAAAAGGUAAUUCAGAUGAUCUUGAAAUUAAAUUAAGUAUUUGUAGUUUGUCAGCCAAGACCAAGUA